UGCAGCUGUGUCAAAUUCGGUGCCUGCCUCAUGUGGCAGGCACUGGCCCAGAAGGCUGCCACAGAAACACUGUGACUCAUGGGCCCUGCUCCCCUUGCCUGGGCACAGGGAUAAAUUUGGUCACAAACACUG
ensembl:snoRNA